AGAGUUUGAUCCUGGCUCAGGAUGAACGCUGGCGGCGUGCCUAAUACAUGCAAGUCGAGCGAUGUUGUAAGGGCUUGCUCUUAUAACAUAGCGGCGAACGGGUGAGUAACACGUGGGCAACCUGCCCCCAAAUCAGGGAUAACUUCGGGAAACCGGAGCUAAUACCAGAUAAUCUUUCACAUCGCAUGGUGAGAAAGUAAAAGGCUUCGGCCGAUUGGGGAUGGGCCCGCGACGCAUUAGCUAGUUGGUGUGGUAAAGGCAUACCAAGGCGACGAUGCGUAGCCGACCUGAGAGGGUGACCGGCCACACUGGGACUGAGACACGGCCCAGACUCCUACGGGAGGCAGCAGUAGGGAAUUUUCCGCAAUGGGCGAAAGCCUGACGGAGCAACGCCGCGUGAAUGAGGACGGUCUUCGGAUUGUAAAGUUCUGUUCUGUGGGAAGAAAAAAAUGACGGUACCAUAGGAGAAAGCCCCGGCUAACUACGUGCCAGCAGCCGCGGUAAUACGUAGGGGGCAAGCGUUAUCCGGAAUUAUUGGGCGUAAAGCGCGCGCAGGCGGUUAAUUAAGUCAGAUGUGAAAGGCUACGGCUCAACCGUAGAGUUGCAUUUGAAACUGGUUAACUUGAGUGCAGGAGAGGUGAGUGGAAUUCCCGGUGUAGCGGUGGAAUGCGUAGAGAUCGGGAGGAACACCAGUGGCGAAGGCGGCUCACUGGCCUGCAACUGACGCUGAGGCGCGAAAGCGUGGGGAGCGAACAGGAUUAGAUACCCUGGUAGUCCACGCCGUAAACGAUGAGUGCUAGG
rnacentral:rRNA from 1 species